AAAUUUUGAUGAGGAUAUUGUUGUAAUAAACUCUUAAAUCUAUCCCAUGUUUCAAAUAUUGGUUCUCUAUCCAUCUGAACAAAGCUUUGGAUGCAAUUUUUCAUGU